GAAAGAUCUAGAGAGAUAGAAAAUCGUGCCCAAACACAAUACAUUCAUGAAAAUUACAUGACAGUAAUAGUUUAGUAGAACAUGAAACCUUGACAGAACAAGUAGAAUGUAAACAUUUGCCGACGCUCGGACCCUACUGAAGCAUCCUAUGGAGGCUAAUGACUGUCGAGAGAACCAGAGAGACAUAGAAAAUUGUGCCCAAAAACGAGAUAGCAAUCGCUGCGAUUAUGUGCGAGCAGAACUUACCAUACACAUUGCACACCUUGUUCCAUCCGACUUUGGUUAUCCCUUGCUCCCCCACAACUCCGAUGGCCCCUGCUGCCCCGAGGGAUGAAAAGAGGAGGGACAGCACGACGAUGUCCAUUACGGUGAUCAGUAAUGCCAGGCCCUGUCUGCGUCCCUUGUUUGCAGAUGAGAUUACUAGCGAGAGGACGGAGUAGCCACAUACAAUGCCAUUGGUGACAAUGAAGAAUACGUAGGCCGACGAGUAACUGACCUUGGCCGUCACCGGAAUCGGCAACGGCGGCAAGGUGGGAGCGAUGACGACGCUGACAAUCUCCGUCUGCUUUGCCACUGCCAUCACAAUCGCUGCAACCAUCGUCGCAAGAAAGGCAGCAACACGGAGCAGGGAGUGAGUGAACUGCGGAGCCGGAGCAGAAAUGGCUCGGCUACCGGAAGUUCCAUCCAUACCAGCCUUCAUCCCAGACUCCAUUGAAACAAAG
rnacentral:misc_RNA from 1 species